rnacentral:lncRNA from 1 species
GUUAGGUAGCUUUCAGCAUACUUGUUUUGAGUUUAGUGGUUGUAGAUAAAGAAAAAAUGGCUGAGGAGCAUACCAAGGUUGGUGGUGAGGAAGCAGUGGAGAGCAAGGAGCGAGGGAUGUUUGAUUUCUUGGGGAAGAAAGAAGAUGAGAAGCCUCAACCUCAAGAGGAGGUGGUCGCCACCCAGUUUGAGAAAGUCAAGAUAGAAGAGGAACAUAAGGAAGAUGAGAAGAAACACAGUCUCCUGGACAAGCUUCACCUAUCCAAUAGCAGCUCCAGCUCUGUAAUUACUUUUUUUUACUUCCUUGCUUACUAUUCAUAGUUCAAACAGUCAAAUCUUUUUCAUAUAUAUUAUAACAUGCGUUGUAUGAAUGUUCAGUCUAGUGACGAGGAAGAAGGUGAAGGCGGAGAGAAGAUGAAGAAGAAGAAAAAGGAGAAGGGAAAGAAAGAACAGGACAGUGCAGUCCCAGUGGAGAAGUGCGAUGAGGCAGCAACAGUUCACCACUCAGAGACGCCGAAAAAGAAGGGUUUCAUGGAUAAGAUCAAAGACAAACUCCCAGGACAGCAUAAGAAAGAUGAAGAGGACACCACCCAACCACCAGCUGCUGCUGCCCCAACUGAGAACGACCACCAUGAAGGAGAGACAAAAGAGAAGAAGGGAUUUUUGGUGAAAAUCAAGGAGAAAAUUCCUGGUUACCACUCCAAAACAGAGGACGAGAAGGAAAAAGAGACCACUGCUCCCCAUUAAUGAAUCAAUAUAAUGCAUUUCAAGUAAAAGAUGUGUAGAGAUUGUGUGGUUUAUCAAUUUGUUGGAACUGUC